rnacentral:rRNA from 1 species
CCCUUAGAUGUUCUGGGCCGCACGCGUGCUACACUGAGUGGAUCAGCGGGUCAGGUUGCGCGAAAGUGUUUCCUAAUCUUGAAAUCCGCUCGUGAUGGGGAUUGACGGUUGCAAUUUUCCGUUAUGAACGAGGAAUACCUUGUAAGCGCGGGUCAUCAUCCCGCGCUGAAUACGUCCCUGCCCUUUGUACACACCGCCCGUCGCUCCUACCGAUUGAGUGGUCCGGUGAGGCUUUGGGAUCUGAGCGGAAAGAGCGUUUCGCUGUUUCUGCUCGGAAAACUCAGUCGAACCUUAUCAUUUAGAGGAAGGAGAAGUCGUAACA